UUUUGCAAGUCGUGCCUGAGGCAGAUCAACAACAGAGGUCGUCUGCGAUGUCCAAAGUGCGGCUCUGAACCUCAAGUGGAACUAAAGGACUUGCCAACAAACAUGUCCAUUCUGGAUAUGGUGAUCUAGUUCAGGAAUUGGAGUUCAAUCAUGAGAAACGAGUGACCACAAAGCCUUGCUCAACUGACAAGGUGAAUAACAUCAUUAAGUUAGAAAUUUCACUCUUUGGAGGCAAGAAUGUAAACAUCGACACGAACCCAAGAAAUCCAGGGCAAGUUGAGUGCAAGAAUGCACUCAACUUACCCUGUUGAGUGCCACUUGAGAUUCGUAUGCAGACGAUGAGUCACAAUAACGGGGCUAAACAUAUGACGGCCAAACCACACAUCAGAAGAUGGAGAAACGACGACGUCUCGCUCAGUCCUGGACGGACCGAAACGUCGUCGCCUCCUUCGUCUUCUGAGGUGUGGUUUGGUCAUUAAGAGUCGGAUGGAACCUGAUAUUGCCACUCAUCUCUUGCCCAGAGUCUCAAGGUGUUCAACCACUUAAAUGGGGUUGUUAUAGUGUUAUAGAUGGAACGAACUGUUUCCCAACCUACAACUCAAUUCUUCGCUCUCCAAAACACAGCCUCAAAAAUAUUUCACAUAUAUCGCGAUAUUAUUAAAAUAUCCUCAUGCACUAACCUUGAGCGUGUAUGGGAUGACUGAUACUGAAAAAAUCUUUAGUUCGCACCAAACUUUGUCACCUCGUUACUGUAAUAAUGAUUAUUAUAACAUGAUCCUGCCUAUGUUACAGCACUUGCUUUAAUAUCACUAUAUUCUGUUAAGUUAUUAUUGUAUUAUUAGGACAUUACUCCUUAUACACUUUGAUGUGCAUGGUUGUGAUUUGGCAAACUAACUAAUUAUAGGCUCAUGGUUCUUUAUUCAGACUUGUUUAGGCCUACGUUCAGAUACUCCAACAGGUUAGGUUAUUCAGCACUGGGUUGGGCCUCAUGUUCCAGGACAGGAAGUCUCUCAGGUCUAUCGACAUAAGAAAUAUGUUGUAAAUC